rnacentral:misc_RNA from 1 species
GUUUAAUUGCCUGUUCUGGUGUUGUUUCUCCAUUUGAAGCUCAUUGUCGGUUGGGACAUCCAUCUCUGCCCGUUUUAAAGAAAUUGUGCCCUCAAUUUCAUAAUGUAUCAUUAGUAGAUUGUGAGUCUUGUCAUUUUGCAAAGCAUCAUCAUAGCUCAUUAGGUCUUAGAAUCAAUAAAAGAGCUGAAUUUGCUUUUGAAUUAGUCCAUUCUGAUGUUUGGGGACCAUGUCCUGUUUUGUCUAAAACUAGGUUUAG